rnacentral:rRNA from 1 species
GACGAACGCUGGCGGCGUGCUUAACACAUGCAAGUCGAGCGGUAAGGCCCUUUCGGGGGUACACGAGCGGCGAACGGGUGAGUAACACGUGGGUGACCUGCCCUCAGCUCUGGGAUAAGCCUGGGAAACCGGGUCUAAUACUGGAUAUGACUCCAUGACGCAUGUUGUGGGGUGGAAAGCCUUGUGCGGCUGAGGAUGGGCCCGCGGCCUAUCAGCUUGUUGGUGGGGUGAGGCCUACCAAGGCGACGACGGGUAGCCGGCCUGAGAGGGCGACCGGCCACACUGGGACUGAGACACGGCCCAGACUCCUACGGGAGGGCGGCAGUGGGGAAUCUUGCGCAAUGGGCGAAAGCCUGACGCAGCGACGCCGCGUGAGGGAUGACGGCCU